GCCGUGGCCUACUGGUUAGCGCUUCGGACUUGGAACUUCGAGGGUUGCCGGUUCAAACCCUGACCAGUAGGCA
rnacentral:tRNA from 1 species